rnacentral:rRNA from 1 species
UACGUAGGGUGCGAGCGUUAAUCGGAAUUACUGGGCGUAAAGUGUGCGCAGGCAGCCGCGCAAGUCGAGUGUGAAAUCCCCGAGCUUAACUUGGGAAUUGCGCUCGAAACUACGUGGCUGGAGUGUGGCAGAGGAAGGUGGAAUUCCACGUGUAGCGGUGAAAUGCGUAGAGAUGUGGAGGAACACCGAUGGCGAAGGCAGCCUUCUGGGCCAACACUGACGCUCAUGCACGAAAGCGUGGGGAGCAAACAGG